rnacentral:snRNA from 10 species
GUGCUCACUUUAACAGCACAUAUACUAAAAUUGGAGUGGUACAGAGAUUAGCAUGGCCCCAGCAAAGGGAUGACAUGCAAAUUCGUAAAACGUUUCAUAUUUUU